CUACGGGGUGCAGCAGUGGGGAAUAUUGCACAAUGGACGAAAGUCUGAUGCAGCAACGCCGCGUGGAGGGUGACACAUUUCGGUGCGUAAACUCCUUUUAUAUAGGAAGAUAAUGACGGUACUAUAUGAAUAAGCGCCGGCUAACUCCGUGCCAGCAGCCGCGGUAAUACGUAGGGCGCAAGCGUUACUCGGAAUCACUGGGCGUAAAGAGCGUGUAGGCGGAUAGAUAAGUCAGGAGUGAAAUCCUAUGGCUCAACCAUAGAACUGCUCUUGAAACUGUCUAUCUAGAAUAUGGGAGAGGUAGAUGGAAUUUCUGGUGUAGGGGUAAAAUCCGUAGAGAUCAGAAGGAAUACCGAUUGCGAAGGCGAUCUACUGGAACAUUAUUGACGCUGAGACGCGAAAGCGUGGGGAGCAAACAGGAUUAGAUACCCCUGUAGUC
rnacentral:rRNA from 1 species